UUGGUGGGGUAAAGGCUUACCAAGGCAAUGAUGCGUAGCCGAACUGAGAGGUUGAUCGACCACAUUGGGGCUAAACCACGGCCCAAACUCCUACGGGAGGCAGCAGUAGGGAAUCUUCCACAAUGGGCGAAAGCCUGAUGGAGCAACGCCGCGUGGGUGAAGAAGGUCUUCGGAUCGUAAAACCCUGUUGUUAGAGAAGAAAGUGCGUGAGAGUAACUGUUCACGUUUCGACGGUAUCUAACCAGAAAGCCACGGCUAACUACGUGCCAGCAGCCGCGGUAAUACGUAGGUGGCAAGCGUUAUCCGGAUUUAUUGGGCGUAAAGAGAACGCAGGCGGUCUUUUAAGUCUGAUGUGAAAGCCUUCGGCUUAACCGGAGUAGUGCAUUGGAAACUGGGAGACUUGAGUGCAGAAGAGGAGAGUGGAACUCCAUGUGUAGCGGUGAAAUGCGUAGAUAUAUGGAAGAACACCAGUGGCGAAAGCGGCUCUCUGGUCUGUAACUGACGCUGAGGUUCGAAAGCGUGGGUAGCAAACAGGAUUAGAUACCCUGGUAGUCCACGCCGUAAACGACC
rnacentral:rRNA from 1 species